rnacentral:rRNA from 1 species
AAAACCUAACCACCGCAGUUGGUUGGUUAGGGUUAGAAAGAGUUGGGUUUCGGCUAUCUACUUUAGGAUGGACCCGCGGUGCAUUAGUUAGUUGGUGAGGUAAAGGCUCACCAAGACCGUGAUGCAUAGCCGACCUGAGAGGUAAUCGGCCACACUGGGACUGAGACACGGCCCAGACUCCUACGGGAGGCAGCAGUAGGGAAUCUUCCACAAUGGACGAAAGUCUGAUGGAGCAACGCCGCGUGAGUGAAGAAGGUUUUCGGAUCGUAAAACUCUGUUGUUGGAGAAGAAUGUAUCUGAUAGUAACUGAUCAGGUAGUGACGGUAUCCAACCAGAAAGCCACGGCUAACUACGUG